rnacentral:tRNA from 1 species
CCAUCGGUGGUUCAGUGGUAGAAUUCUCGCCUGCCACGCGGGCGGCCCGGGUUCGAUUCUCGGCCGAUGCA